rnacentral:lncRNA from 1 species
GAGCACCACGGAUCAGACAGUUAGAGCUAAAAUAGUACAGCAUGCGUUUGUGAAAAAUAGCAUGGCCCAGUGGUGGUGGCAGUGGGUAGAUGGGAGGAGGCAAUGGAAAUAACAGGGAAUAAACCUGUAUCCAUAAAAUGGGGCCGAGUUCUAAAGGGCUGUGAAUGCCAGGCUGAAGAGCUUGGGUACCAGGGAGGAUCGGGACAUAUUUUAGAACUGGAACAUGAAGUAGUUCUGGAUUAUAAAAGGAUCUCAUCCACGUUUGGGGGUGAUAGGAAGAUAAGUAAGCUGAUCAGUUUGGAGGAUGUUGAAACAAUAAAUAUCACAAAAUAAAAGGGCCUGAACUAGGGUGGUGGCAGUGAGAGUGGAGAAGAGGUAGGAGAGAGGCCACCAAGGAGGUUGACAGAUGAUUUGCUCCUGAAGAGCAAGGAGUAGAGACCAGCAAGAGGUAAUGUGAAGGUCUGGACUCUGGUAGCCAAAAGGGCUGUUAUCCAGGAGGAGAAGCACUGCAAGGAGACCAAGGUGGAGCCAGGGAAGGGGAGGUGGUGGCACAUGUCUGAACAUACUGAAUGUGGUGGCUUUAGCACAUCCAGAGGACGGCGGGCCACCUGGAGAGCAGAGCUAGCUGCAGGGAUGCAGGAGUGGAGACCCAACUGGGCCAGGGCAUUAGUGUACAGUUCUGAGGUGGGGCUGGGGGAGGGCAUUUCCCCCAAAGCCUGAGAGAAAAUGUGGUGGCAGCCACAGCAUCUGUCCAGAGCACAGCUACAUGUCCACUGCCCACAGGGCUCAACCUCCAGGACAGCCCUGCCCCACUGAAUAGGACACAAGCCCGCAGAUGAAUAUUCUGUAGCCACAAUCAAGUAAGUAAAAAGAAACACAUGAGAUUAAUUUACUAAUAUUUUUAACCCACUAUAGCCAAAUGUUACAUUUCAAUAUGCAUUCUAUAUAAAAAUUAUUAAUGCCCUAGCUUACGCUCUUUCUCUUUCCCAAGUCUUUGAGAUCUGGUGUGCAGGUUAUACUUUCGAGCUGUCUCAGCCACAUGUUUAUUGCCCACAUGGGGCUGGUGACACCAAUACUGAGCAGUGCAGCGGUAGAAGUCACCUAAGGUACCUCCUAGACAGGGUGACAGUGUCAUUUGUCCUUCUCAACUGGGUACUUCCCAGAGUGGAAAAGGAGGUGGCAAGUACAGUAAAUGGGGACUGUCCUGGGUGAAUCAGGAGCUCCUCUCUUCUAUCUUUCCAGCACAUUCUGCCUGGUAGAGAAAGGCUCUGGACAGGCCUUGAUUCAGGCUCAGCCUUCACCCACUCUAAAGCACCACUGAGCCCCAGGAUCAAAAGAUGUGGUGACACCACUUCUCCAUGCUCCUCAUUCACCACUCAAAGGAAAUAUUAAUAACAACAAUAUUGACCAGCAUAUACUGAGCACCCUUUAUGUGCCUGGUGCUGUGCCCCGCACUUCCUGUGUGACAACCAUGAUACUGGUAUUAUUGCUGUCCUCUUCAGAUCCAGAGAGGUUGCCUAACUUUCCCAAAGUCACCCAGCAGAACAGGAGCUCCUAUCCAUUUCUGCCUGAGGCUCGUUCCCAGGCCCUUAACCUCUGAACCAUGUGGGUAGUUCUCCUCUAUGUCUCUAUGUCUGCUAGAGGAAGGGUGCUUUGGAAGGCUUGAAAGAGAGAGUAGUGUGGCUUUAUUGUGUUAAGCAGAGGACGUAUCCUUCUCAUUGUGUUUCCUGAAAAGGACACUUAGUUCAGUUUGCCUACUUGAGGCUUUUAUGGAGGCAAUGCAGAUUUUCAAUAAAAACAUUGAGGUUGUUUCGUGUUUAAAUCUCCGAUCUUCGAUGUGUGGGUGCCUCCAUCUCCUUCACUGUAGCCUUUCUCUCAAAGACAAUGCAUACAACGACUCCACAAUCCAGCACCUGGAUGCAACACUUUAGUUUAGCUCCUCAGCACUUAAAGGCCUGGUGACCUUAGUAGACGAGACUUUUUGUCUGCCUUGUCUUAGAGAAUGACUUAAAAUUGGGAUGAGCCUGCCAACAAUGAUGUGAGCAACUUACUCACUGUCAGGGACCCUGGAGAGAUGCUUCCCAGCUGUGAAGAUGUCAUCCAUGAAAACACCAUCCCAGUCAUUCCAGCUAGAGUGGACGUACCGGUCGCCACACAUCCCAGUUGAAAGAAAGUGACAUUGAGUGUGUCAAGGCCAUGAGGCACGCCUGCAAAUGUGGCAGGAAAAUCACAUAAUAGUGCCAUGCUAUACUCACCUGAUACUGGCAUGAAAUUCAAAGGGUACUUAAAAAAGAUAAGAAAUGGAGGGGAGGAGACUUCCAGCUGCAGCCAAAAGCCAUGUUCUUUCUCCAUGUACAGAAUUUAUAGCAUGAGGGAAGGCACCUAGCUGGCGAGUGCUGAGCGGGUAUUUCAGAAUCAGUCCAGCAGAGUCUGAGCUGUAAGAAAGAAGCUAAGGAAUAGCUAGAAUCAUGAAUGUCCUUUACGGGAUGAUGGUUAGGUGCCAGGGAUGAGGACGGAACUGUGGAGCCUGUCUUUUAAGUCAUAGAGUAUGUCUGGAAAACUGAUAGCUCCUAGGCUUAAAAAUAGAGAUGUAAUAUGAAAGUUCUUGGUAUAGAUUACUUAAAUUAUUGGUGGGGCAUGGGGUGGGGCCAUUGGUCUGAUAUGACUCCAGUUUGACUCGUGUGGAAUUUCAAUGUGGUGCUUUAGAGGACAGAAGAGGCUAUUUCCUUGCAUAUACAAUGAGUCACACAAUCCUAAUGGUGUUUAUAGGACUAUAGACAAAUUGUGGGGUCAGUGGGGGUCUUUACUGAGUGAAAUGCAGGCUCUCUCAUCUCUCUGCCUGUCUCUCUGUCUUUGUCUCUCCAUCACAUUGGGUCAGCAUAUUGGUAUGAAGAGGAAAUCUAACUCUAAUAAAAAUCAUCAUUUCUGGAGACUCAGAAUAGAUCAAUAAAAUCUACCUAUGCCUUCCCUUUCAACAACUCAGUGGUGACAGCAGGUUUUAAGGUUUAUGCUGUGGAUGGAGAAAAACAGAGGUGGUUAGUCUUAAAACUAUGGCACAGAAAUUGAAGCUGAUAAUAAGAAUUUUUUUAACUGUAUCUUAGGAAAAGCCAAAUCAAAGUCCCCCAGGGAUAAGGAAGUGAGAUGAAUUUGAAACAUGGGCACCACAUCCAAGCUGUGUUCUUGGAGGCCUGGUGUGUGGUCCAGGGCCAAGUGUAAGCUGAUAUCACAAGACAGACACUUCUCCAGCAAGCAGACAACAAGGGAAGGCCUGAACCUAAAGCUGCCUCUCUUGUGAGCCUGAAAGUUGAAUGUCUCUGUUUCCCCAAAGACAUGAUUCCAUGUCAUUUAAUAAAAUCUUCAGGUACAGAAGCAUUAGAGAUGGGGUAGAAUCAGGUAAGGUCCUGCUUCAAACAAUCCAUCGACCAUCUGGGAAAACGGAAUGAUGACUUCAACAAUGGACAGGGUGAUACAAACAGGGUCAGAGUUCCUGGGUUCUAGUGUAAGCUUUAUCUGUGACUAUACUCAAGACAUGCCCUCAGCUGGGCCCUGAAAUUGUCAUGCUGUUCUGUGGAACACAGAUGGGGAGCUGAUUUUAUUCAUGGUCCCUUAAGAUGUGCCAUAAUACUAAGGUCUACAACUCAGAAGCCACGAUGGGAGCCACUAUGGCCAAGUAAUUGAGGUCUUGUUAAUUCAUACAAAAGGAAUGUCUUGGUUCUAGCUUCUGGGCUUCUUGUUUUCUAGAAUUAUUUGAUACAAGAAAAUACUGGCAUAACCACAGGCACUUUGCCAUCCCGUGGAAUGUCACCAUCGUGGGUGUGACUGGUAGCAAACCAGUCUCUUGGUCCAAGUGUACGCAAGUAGUCAAUGGCUGGCAGAGUCACGAUGAAUAACCACAGUUCUGUAUUUCCAAGUUCUCCCUUCUUUGACUGUACCGUGUCUAGAACACAGUUAAUAGCUUUCUCAUCCCUUUAUUUUCUCAACAGUAAAUGGUGGUGGAAAAAGGUUUACCACUUUAAAGAAAUCUUAUAUGGGUGGGAUUAUAGAAUAUGUGUGGAUUAUUUUGAAAAUAUGUUGGAUCAAUAGAUAAAUAGAAUUGGAAGGUACCUGCCUGUGCUCUAGCCAAAGAGUGUAUUUGAAAUAAAUGAAGCUAAAGAAUAUGUGUUUUCUUUUCUUUUCUUUUUCUUCGUGAGUAUAUUAAAGAUACAGUUUCUCCAGGUUGCAUCACAGUGGUCAUUUUAGGUCCUGCAGCCCUUUCAGUCUCGGGGUAAGAAGCAUCCGUUUCUCAUCUCAGGGAGACAGUGGGCUUCUCUUCCUAAGGGAAGCAUCUGCCCCUGAGAAUGGAAACACAGGAACUAAGCCUUGAAGAGGUGCCAUUACAAAGUGUUGAGCUUGGAGAUAAAGCUGUGGCUUUGUGGUGUUCUGUGGGAGAUUUCAUUGCUUCAUGAGGUCAGUGAUGUAAUUCAGGCAAAUGUUCCCAAUAUCUAUUUAAUAUAAGACAUGGUUGAGUCAUCUUUUUUUUAAAAAAAAAAAAGACAGCUUUUCUCCUUCUUGUUCACUCAUCAUCAUCAAAGUAAAAAUCAUAAGUUAAGUAUGUGCAAUUAUACAUUUGUUUGGCAUGUAGUCAUGUCUACAUGUACUGUUUCCCACUUCUGGGAGUCUCCCAUUACCGUUCAUCCUUGUUACUCACAUGCAGGCGAACCCAUGAUUUUCCUACCAGCUGUCUACUUGCUCCCUUGCUAUUGAGACUCGCUCUCACCCAGCCAAAGUCAAGUUCUUGGCAUCCCACAUUUAGCCAUAACUGCAUCUCCACUCAUACGGGGUCCUUUGCCAUUACAGAUUAAGAUGGAUUAAGAUACUGUGAUGACUUUUUCAGACUGGGAAAUGAUUUCAAAUGUACUCUGAUUCAGGGAGCAGAACAUUGGAAGCAGAGUUGAUGAUGUGAAAACAGCCCAAAGUGAAUUUGCUUUUCAAGUGGGAGGAAAUAGAUUAACUCACCACUUCUUUGGGUGUAUAAUGAAGUCGUAUUGUUCUUGCACCACCAUGUUUAGCCACAAUUUUAAAUUCUGUUAAGGGAAGUGUGAGGCAAAAAUCCCACUAAUAAUCACUUAUUGGUCUUGUCUCAUUACAAAAAUGAUAAAUGUUGAUGUACUUGUUUUUCUCAUACGUUUUACACUCAUGCUUGCAUUUGAUAAAUAUUUAUCUUGAGUGCCUACUAUGUGCCUGACAUAUUUUAGAUGCUGAAAAUACAGCAGUGAACAAACAUAAAAAUUCCUGACCUCGUGAAAUUUGGAUUUAAAAGGGGAAUUAAAAAAAUAAAUAAGUAGGCCAGGCGUGGUGGCUCACGCCUGUAAUCCCAGCACUUUGGGAGGCCAAGACAGGUGGAUCACCUGAGAUCAGGAGUUCAAGACCAGCCUGGCCAAUGAGGUGAAACCCUAUCUCUAUUGAAAAUACAAAAAUUAGCUGGGAGUGGUGGCAUGUGCCUAUAGUCCCAGCUACUUGGGAGGCUGAGGCAGGAGAAUGACUUUAGCCUGGGAGGUGGAGGUUGCAGUGAGCCAAGAUCAUACCACUGCACUCCAGCGUGGAUGACAGAGAGACACCAUCUCAAAAUAAAUAAAUAAAAUGCACUGUGUGGGAAAAUGAUACUAAGGGCAAUGGAAAAGCAUAAGACAAAUAGGGGGCAGCUGGGGGCGCAAAACUGGUGAAGGAGGGGCACGUCGAGAAGUGAUGAGUGUCAUGUGGCAUACUCACCUGAAGGAGGUGACACUGGGAGCCAUGCUGAUGUCUGACUCAGGAGCACACCAGGAAGGAGAAACAGCAAGUGCAAAAAGCUAGUUAGCAUUUCAGAAUGGGUCUUAUUAUUCCUGUAAAAAUAAUAAUAAUAAUAAUAAUGUUGGGAUUUUGAUGGGGGAUUGCAUUGAAUCUUUAGUUUGCUUUGGGUAGUGUGGUUAUCUUAACAGUAAGUCUUCCAAUCCAUGAACAUGAGGUACCUUUUCAUUUAUCUCGUUCUUUAAUUUCUUUAAGUAAUAUUUUGUGGUUUUCAGUAAUGAGUCUUUUGCCUCCUUGUUUAAAUUUAUUUGUAAGUAUUUUGCUCUUUUCAAUGUUAUUUUGAAUGAAAUUGUUUUCAAUUUCCUUUUUGAAUUGGUCAUUGCAAGUAUAUAGAAGCACAAUUGAUCUUUUUAUCCUACAAGCUUGCAGAAUUCACUUAUUAGACCUAAUGGGUUUUUAUUUCAGGAUUCUUUAGGAUUUUCUACAUACAAUAUCAUGGCAUCUGCAAAGAGAUAAUUUGACUCCUUAUUUUCCAAUUUGGAUAUCUUUUAUAUGUUGUUUUCUUAAUUGCUGUCACUAGAAUUUCCAGUACUGUGUUGAAUAGAAGUGACAAGAGUGAACAUCCUUGUCUUGUUCCUGAUCUUAGGCGAAAAGCUUUCAGUAGUUUGUCAUUGGGUAUUAUGUUAGUUGUGGGUUUCCAUAUAUGAGCUUUAUCACGUCGAAGUUUUCUUCUACUCCUAAUGUAUAUUGAGUGUUUAUUUGGGUAAUGGAAAAGUUUUGGGAAAAAUGAAUAAUAAUUAUUAUUGCCAACGUUGUGAAUGUAAUUAGUGCCAUAGAACUGUAGUUAAAAAUUGUUAAAAUGCCAAAUUGUAUGUUAUAUAUGUGUGUAUAUAUAAAAAACCAUAACUCAAAAAAAAUAAUAGACCAAAAACCUAUUGAAUUGUACAUUUGAAAUAGGUGAACUAUAUGAUAUGUGAAUUAUAUCUCAAUAAGUCUAUUAAAAAAACUUUUUAAAAAUACAAAUAAGAAACCAUUGCAAAUGGAGAUUUAAAAAAAUUAUCGAGAUGGUAAAGAAAGUGACUGUUUUGGAGGUAAAACCAGCAUUGGUUGAUGACUGGUAGAUGGAGGGAACGAGCAAAAGAAAACAGGCAUGGAAAUAUCACAUGUUCUUCAGCAUAAGAAAUCUGGAAACUGCAAUUGCCAUAGAGGACUACGGGAGGAAGAAAUUUGGAGGGAAAGACCAAAAGUCUGAAUCUAGAGACAUUUCGAGUCUGCCUUUUGCUUUCUGCUGCCUUAUCCUCAGCUCAGCCUGGCACCAGAAGAAGUGGCUUAGGGACAAACUAGUAACCAGGUGUUCCCUGCAUGUGCAGGGCUGUCAUUGAGAGUGAUUUCCAUCCCCAUUUUUCCUGGAACAGAACUCAGAUUAGGAGGCCAUACCAAAAGGCAAUGAUGUGAGAGAUGGUUGAGAGAGAUAACAAAGAAUUUCCAAGUAUUAAGAGUAGUUAAUGUUAAUUAUACAAGUCCAAAGAACAUGAAGCACUCCACUAUGGGAAAAUGAAUAAAAUAGCUGUCUGCAUGCCCUUCCAGAACCUUCCAUACAGUCAUGUAUGGUAAGCAUUUUUUUGCCAGUUGAUUGUUAAGCUUUAGUGCCUGAUGAAAAUUAUAUGAUUGUCUUCCCUCUAGAUUUAAAAAUAUCAGUAGACACAGUUUCCUUUUUGGGAAUUAUUAUACCUCUACCUUGAGACAAGAAUUCCUUAGAUACUUUUCAGCCUUGAGUUUUAAGAUAUUUCAAUGCCUUUUAUCCAUAGUUCUAACUUUGGACAUCAUUUGCUUUUGUUUGGAUUGCAAUUAAAUAAUUGUGUAAUAGUCAAAUAUUAUAAGUGUGGCUCCAACAUCUUGGGUGAAAGCUCAUCUCAUUCAGCCCAAUGAAGAUGAAGCUUACCCACUAGGUAAAGCCAGCUGAAAUCAUUUGGAAAAUUUCACUUAGCUUUAAUCCAGUAGGUUCCUCUUUCUGUUGAAUGGUAUCAGUGGUCAGUUCCUUAGAAAGCUUAGUCUGAUACGAUAGUCACGCUUUUAAAAGGAAGAAGACCAGGAUCUACACGGUCUUGUGCCUAACGGGAGAGAAGAGAGGAGCCAGCUCUUCCACUCAUUUUCCAUGUGCUUCCCAUGGGCUGAAGGCCUAACCAUGUGUGGUCACAAAACCCAGCACCGAAACAGCUGUCCCCUUUCAUCUCGGUCCUCACAUGUCGAACACUAGAUUGUGUGUGUGUUUUCAAUACUCUCUUCCAGGGAGUUCGGAACACACGUGUUCCUUUUAACUCCUACCAGACCCUGAGAUCUGCAGGCCAAAAGGACCAUUCUGGAAGGAAUUUGGAAAGAUCAGGGGUCAGCUGUUGAGCAACAGCCUGAGAUUCAGGAAGCACAGGUCUGCCAGGUCAGCCCCUAACUCACUCACCCUCAGCUGGGGGCUCCAUGACCUUGAUGUAUCUUGGUUUUGUCACCCAUAAAACACAGAUAGCAACACUUCCAAAACAGACACUAAAUGGAAUGCAUUUUGUGAUCUUUGGAGAAAAGGCAGCCUGUUAACAUAUGCUAACAACGUGUUAUUCUGGGCAGGCCUGGAGCCACGGCCUCCCAUCGCCACCAGAGUCAUUUCAUUUCAAGAACCUCUGCCAAGAACAGCCUGAUCACCCCAGCCUCCAAGCUCCGGCUCUGGGUCCAGCUGGCAUGAGAUAAAGGGCCACUCUGCCCAGUUGUGUGUGCUGCCCUGCUCACCCAAAGGCCUUAAUUCAGGGCUUCCAGUGCUGAUGGCCACUACAACUCACCAAUUCUGCCUAAGAACAGACCUCCUUAUCACCACGUGCCUGCCUCCCAUCAAGUCUAUUAACUCUCAUUGGUGGGAUAGAGCAGUCUAGGCUGGCUCCUUCAGAGAGAAUGGUUUUGCUUUGGAACACAGAUUUACCAGUUGUACCUCACGAGUGGAUAUUUAGUAGGGUGAGAGCGUUUAUAGAUUGUUUUGGUCUUAAGAAAAAAGAGGCCGGGCGCGGUGGCUCAUGCCUGUAAUCCCAGUACUUUGGGAGGCCGAGGCGGGAGGAUCGCAAGAUCAGGAGAUCGAGACCGUCCUGGCUAACACGGUGAAACCCCAUCUCUACUAAAAAUACAGAAAAUUAGCGAGUGUAGUGGCGGUGCCUAUAGUCCCAGCUACUCGGGAGGCUGAGGCAGGAGAAUGGCAUGAACCUGGGAGGCAGAGCUUGCAGUGAGCCGAGAUCGUGCCACUGCACUCCAGGCUGGGCGACAGAGCGAGACUCCAUCUCAAAAAAAAAAAAGAAAAGAAAAGAAAAAGAAAAAA